rnacentral:rRNA from 1 species
GACGAACGCUGGCGGCGUGCUUAACACAUGCAAGUCGAACGAAGUGGCGAACGGGUGAGUAACGCGUAAUCAACCUGCCCAUCAGCGGGGGACAACAGUUGGAAACGACUGCUAAUACCGCAUACUGAGGGAGGGGAUUGCGUCUGCUUAGCUAGUUGGAGGGGUAACGGCCCACCAAGGGCAGUAUCAGUAGCCGGUCUGGCAGGAGGAACGGCCACAUUGGGACUGAGAAACGGCCCCGACUCCUACGGGGGGCAGCAGUGGGGAAUCUUCCGCAAUGGACGAAAGGCUGACGGAGCAACGCCGCGUGAGUGAUGACGGCCUUCGGGUUGUAAAGCUCUGUUAAUCGGGACGCGGUACCGGAAUAGAAAGCCACGGCUAACUACGUGCCAGCAGCCGCGGUAAUAC